UACGUAGGCAGCGAGCGUUGUUCGGAGUUACUGGGCGUAAAGCGUGCGUAGGCGGUUGUCUAAGGUUGGUGUGAAAUCUCCCGGCUUAACUGGGAGGGUGCGCCGAAAACUGGGUGACUGGAGUGUCGGAGAGGUAAGCGGAGUUCCUGGUGUAGCGGUGAAAUGCGUAGAGAUCAGGAGGAACACCUGUGGUGUAGACAGCUUACUGGACGAUAACUGACGCUGAGGCACGAAAGCGUGGGUAGCAAACAGG
rnacentral:rRNA from 1 species